rnacentral:piRNA from 1 species
AAGACCCAAGUGAACAGCGCAGA